rnacentral:misc_RNA from 1 species
CUCCACAAUGAAAAUUCACUAUUCUUUCGUUUUGAUUCUGAACAGGAAAUGAAAAAUCUCCUGUGCAGGGAAUGUAAAAAUAAAAAUGCUGGAAGCAGCAGUAUUUACCGAAAAAAGAAAAACCUGUGAGAUAACAUCAUCUGCUUUACAUCAUAGAUGAUGAAAACUCACUCCUAAAUUACAAGUACUUAAAUAUAAGCUACAAUUUCAACUGUUAAAGGGGGACCGUAAUAUCCUGCGAUUUAAAUGCCUGGGAUAAACUCCUAUAUUCCUGAAUAAAUCAAUCAGUGAGAAAAUUAAGUGACAGAAGGGAAUAUGGUGAACCUAUAUUAAGCUCUACAGCUUCCUGACUAUCUGUAACAGCUGGAGAUGAUUCAGAGAAUGGAGGCCUCGAGAAAAUGCCCUCUACGUGACUAAAAAUGGAGUGAGGUGUUGGAAUAAUAUACACUGUCUGCUCUAUUUUCCCUGAUUUAAAGCCUUUGACGCCAGCUAGAAUCCGAGGUUUAGUAACCUGUAGCAACAUAUAUAAGCUACAAAAGAAAGAUGAUAUAAAUAUGGAAAAAGAUUUAUUGUUAAUUUGGACCUGCUGCUUCUUCUGAUUUGAAGAGAAACUGAUGGCAGUAUCUGCAGCAGUAGCAAGGACCUUAUCAUAAAACAAAGAAGAGACUCUGGAAUUUUAGGGGAAAAACAAAACAACAGUGAAAUCCUGUUAAAAUUUUGAACUUCUUGCUAGUAUUUUUGUCACCCAUUGUCUAAGAUACCUGAAACUAUUUUCACCAGAGAGUAGUGAGAAGAAGGCCAUUUCACACCCAUUUACCUACAGAAUCCUCAACAUUAGAAGCAAACCAUUUAAUGAAUAAUGAAGAGUGCCUAACAAGCAAUAAUCUCAAAAAUUCGAAAGAAAAGACACCAAUGUAAUUAGUCCAUUGUCAGAACUCAUCAUCUUCUCCAUGUUUUGAAGUUCCACCUAAGAAUUGACAUUAAGGAGCUUUCUUUCACCAAUUCAAAAUGUGGAAAAGAUCUGCCCAGGUGCAGGUAUCACCAACAUCAAUGAAUUGCCCUUAAGAAUGAUAGCUGGGAGGGAUUUAAAAACAUUGGAAAAACGUUAUGUUAGUCAAGAUUCUUAUAUAGCAUAACUAGCUCAUAAAACAGACUUGACUUAUGCAUUGUUUUUUUGGAUUCAGGGGAGGGGGGAACCCAGAAGGAACCAGCAAAUCAAUUGAGCUGUCUAUCCGCGGCCACUGAAUACCCUGCAGAUUGGACCCAAAAAAAUCUCCAACUUCAUCAGGCGGAGUAGGCAACAAAUGCAAUCCCAUUUCAGAGGAAACUGCUUAUGAAUUGUUUAGCACAUGUAUGAUAGGAACUGCACAUUUUUAUUACACAAGCUUUCAUGCAUUUAAAUUCAGAAAACGAACUCAAUAACAACGAAGAACUAAUAGUACCUGCGUACAUAUGUAAUUUUAAAAAAUAAUUAAAAAAAAAAACAAUUUUUCAUGACAAGAAGAAGGAGGAACUAGGCAUCUAUUUAUAAUAAGAAAGAACCGUAUACACAGUUUGAGUCCAGGAGAGAAGGAGCAGCAUGAUAGCAGCCAAAAAAGAAAUGAAAGCCCAUGGCGUGUUAAAAUAAUUGUCCCAUAAAUUGGCCAUCCACUGAUUCCACUUACUCAUCCACCUAUUCCAUUUGUCUUCGCAAUGCUUGUCUACAUCUUCCACUAUAUCAGCAUAGAGAGCUCUGUCGCAGAAGACAUUUUUCCCAAUCUUAUUGAAUAAAAUUGCAAUGGUUUCAUCGUCAACCUUCCUGUUCACAAUGAUCCCCCGGCUACGAAGUAUCUCCACAUCCUUUGCAGA